rnacentral:ncRNA from 2 species
UUGGUUGCAGGGGGCUAGGACUUGCGACCUAUACUUGGGCACCUGGAUCGCAACGAGCUGGUGGUGCAACCGACCUGACAUUGU